UCAUAGACUUGAGGAGAAAGUCCAGGACUCCAUUCUUUCAUGUUAAAGCUAUUUAGUCAAGAAGGGCAAUGUUGACACCAUCAGUUGAUUACCAGAAAGAACCUUGAGUUAGAGCUCCCAAGAAACCCAAGUUCACGCACGAAAAUGGAAAAAUAUUCUCACCUAGAGCACAGGGAAAUCUUGAGAAGUUACUAGCCUGUACCUGUGGAAUAUGCAAGAUGUAAAGGUCCUACCAUGGGUCAAAAGUCAGUAGGUGAAAAUGAAGAAAACUUCCCUCCCAUGUGAGUCUUAUGAAGAAAGGGACUAAACUAAAAGGAUGGAAGGAUGAAAACAACAAACAACAAGCAAAAUCAGCUUCACUGUCACUGAGCCCACGUGAACACUAACUGGGAGAAGAUCUGAGAGAAGGCAGAAUUAUUACCUAAGAGAGUCGAUUCAGUCAUCAUCUUGAAGCAUUGAAAUAAAAUCUUUUUCCAAGUGAAUGCUAGAGGUCCUGGUUUGAAAAUCAAGUAAGGAAUGGACUGUAGAGUAUGACUGCAAACUGUUACAAACCUAACUGGGAGGAACCUCAAAUGUACUGGUGAAAGCCUGGCCCAGCUUCUGAUCCUAACCUCUGCUUGCUGAUCCAGCCAGUGUAAGAAAUUCUGCUGCUUAUUCCUGUCACCAACAGGCACCUUUGCCAUGUCUGCUCAGCCAUAUCUACUCUGCCAUGUCUGCUCUGAAGCUUCCCUGAAACUAGGUCCUCUACUAGCACCAUUAGCCAGGAGUGUACUGAGUUUGAUCACCAACAAGGAACCUCACAUAGCAUCAACUUGAACCAAUUGACCCUGUGCAGUAAAAGAAAUAUACUAAUUCAAAGUCCUCUUCUUGCUUCUACGAUUGGGAAGAACUAUCAUAAAGAUGCCCUGGAUCUUUUGGGGGCACCUCCUAUGCAGUCAUCCUUGUCAAGAUGCUGCUGAAUAUCUCCUUCCCUGCUCUCAGAAACUUAUUAAAGUAGAUGGAAGCAAGUCCCAUACUUUCUAUGAGAAGCACAUGGCCAUAGAAUAGCAGCAAAUGCUCUGGACGAAGAGUGGAAGGAUUAUAUUGUUCCAGUGGUGUGAGUAACAAACAAAGUUUUCCUAUGAAACAGGUGUCUUGGCCAAUGUCAGAGUGAACCUGCUUCUGAGUAAGGCACCUUCUUGCUACAAAUCAAGGAGAACUGUAGAGAGGAAAUGCAAAUCUAUUCUGGGUGCAUUUGGAUGCCAAUAGAAAUACUCUCAACAUGGGUAUUUUUUAAAGGAGAGGACGUUCCUAGACUAGUACAUAGUACUGUGCCUCAGUGGUUAGGGUCCAACAGAGAUAGCAGAAACUGAAAGCUUUUAAUUCUUGCUAAAGAAGAUGACAUAUGAUAAUACGUUGUCAGAACACCCUUAAACAAAGAAGGUAAGAAUUUCAGGACCAAAGAGUCUGCAUAACACAAUUUAGCAUCUUGCUACUCUAUGUGCCCUGCAACACAAAUGCCAUAUUGCUCUGAAGAACAAAUGCACCGAACAAAAUAAGGAGACUGAAGAAUAUGGCUAAACUUUUGACCAAGAGAGGAAAGGAAGCCAAAGAAAAACUACCAGGAGCAGAUCACCAAGAGACAGGCUGUCCUUGCUAAAAGCUUCUGCUUCUCAGUCACAAUGAAAACUAAGUUUUUAAGAGUAACAAAUAAAUGGAGAAAUGUUGAAUCUAAAAAUAAGAUAAAAUAUCUCCUACCCCAAACAUACUUUCCUCCUCCUACAUAGCACUCCUCCAAUCAGCUCUGGAGAAAGCAGAGUUCACUGCCUAAGAGCAUGGCCCAGACACAUCUAGAGUGGAUAUUGACAGAAAAACAAGUGUGGGUUGUAGCCUGGGUGACCACAUAUAUAGUACAUGUGUGGGGCUCCCACAGCAUGGAAGUUGUGUAACUGAGAAGAAUAAAGAAAGAGCUUGUUUGGGGUGUAGGGAACUAGAAAUGACCUUUCCAAACUGCAAUACAUAGAGCAAAACUUUGAGAGACACAUGAUUUUGAUUCAAGCAUGGCCUUCUGGCUGUUUAUAAAAGUAUUUUGCACCAA